rnacentral:rRNA from 1 species
UACGUAGGGUGCGAACGUUGUCCGGAAUUAUUGGGCGUAAAGAGCUCGUAGGCGGUGUGUCACGUCGGCCGUGAAAACCUGCAGCUUAACUGUGGGCGUGCGGUCGAUACGGGCAUCACUGGAGUUCGGCAGGGGAGACUGGAAUUCCUGGUGUAGCGGUGAAAUGCGCAGAUAUCAGGAGGAACACCGGUGGCGAAGGCGGGUCUCUGGGCCGAUACUGACGCUGAGGAGCGAAAGCGUGGGGAGCAAACAGG